rnacentral:rRNA from 1 species
UACGUAGGGGGCGAGCGUUGUCCGAAGUUACUGGGCGUAAAGCGCGCGUAGGCGGACUCUUAAGUGAGGGGUGGAAGGUUCAGGGCUCAACCCGAACACUGCCUUUCAUACUGGGAGUCUUGAGUGCGGGAGAGGCGAGUGGAAUGGUCGGUGUAGCGGUGAAAUGCGCAGAUAUCAGGAAGAACACCCGUGGCUAAGGCGGCUCUCUAGUACGGUACUGACGCUGAGACGCGAAAGCGUGGGGAGCGAACAGG